rnacentral:ncRNA from 1 species
UCGCACUGUGGUGGAUUCCCAUGGUGAUAACGGGUAACGGAGAAUCAGGGUUCGACUCCGGAGAGGGAGCCUGAGAAACGGCUACCACAUCCAAGGAAGGCAGCAGGCGCGCAAAUUACCCACUCCCAGCUUGGGGAGGUAGUGACGAAAAAUAACGAGACGAUUCUCGUUUGAGAAACGUUAUCGAAAUGAGUACGCUUUACACACGCUAACGAGUAGCAAUUGGAGGGCAAGUCUGGUGCCAGCAGCCGCGGUAAUUCCAGCUCCAAUAGCGUAUAUUAAAGUUGCUGCGGUUAAAACGCUCGUAGUUGAAUUGUGGUCUUAGACAACAGUCCCCCUACAAAGGUGUGGCACGGUUGCUCGAGAUCUUCAUUCGUGGUUGCUGUUGUUGCUCUUCAUUGAGUGUCAAUGGUGCCUCGAGAUUUUACUUUGAAAAAAUUAGAGUGCUCAAAGCAGGUUGUGAUGCCUGAAUAAUGGUGCAUGGAAUAAUAGAAUACGAUCUCGGUUCUAUUUUGUUGGUUUUCGAACCGGAGAUAAUGAUUGAAAGGAACAGACGGGGGCAUUCGUAUUGCUGCGUUAGAGGUGAAAUUCUUGGAUCGCAGCAAGAUGAACAAUUGCGAAAGCAUUUGCCAAGAAUGUUUUCAUUAAUCAAGAACGAAAGUUAGAGGUUCGAAGGCGAUCAGAUACCGCCCUAGUUCUAACGGUAAACUAUGCCAACCAGCGAUUCGCCGAAGUUCAUUUAAGACUCGGCGAGCAGCUUCCGGGAAACCAAAGUGUUUCGGUUCCGGGGGAAGGUAUGGUUGCAAAGCUGAAACUUAAAGGAAUUGACGGAAGGUCACACCAGGUAGUGGAGCCUGCGGCUUUAAUUUGGACUCAACACGGGAAAACCUCACCCCGG